CUAAAACGUGCAGGAUGCCGGCCCUCAAGGACCCACUUCGGGCACCCCUGGACCAAAGUCUCAGUAGUAAUAACAAGCAGUGCACAUCUGCAGUUAUGCACAUCUAAUAAUGUGUGGAUGUUAAUUGGUUUAUUCUGAACAGUGAUGCUUUUCGUUGGAAUUCACAGCCCAGAAACUGGGUCUAGCCAGUGUUAGCUCUUUUUUAUCUAACGUGGGGAACAGGGAGUUUCCAGCUUGUUCUAAUCACUUGUGUCCGUCCUGGUUAUAGUGCAGCUGCAGCUUCUCCUGCAGCUGCACUACAGAGGAUGGCACAGAGCUGACAGCGAAGUCAAUGCACUUUAGCACAGACACUGCACAGUACCAAAGAGCUGAAAGAGAAAGUCAGACAAAGGCUGGUGGGCACAGCAAAGCCUUUUUACAGGUAAAGAUUUGCAGAUUUCUCCAUUAGUUUACCGAACACUGACGCGACGCCACAGUGUUCACAUUUCUUGUUUCUAGAAUUCAGUCUCUGCUUGAACGUUAUCUUAGCAUUUUGAUUAGCUCGGUUGUGUGACACUGUUGAUAGGAAUGCUUCAGAUUUUCUCAUGAGACCUCAUACAAACAGAACCAUUUAAUUCCAUGUAGACUACAUCUGUAAGAUUUAUUCUAGGAAAUGACUUUGUUGUUGUUUAUUCAGUGUUAUUUAACUCAAAUAGUUCAGAAAGCAUUUGGCUCAGGUAGCUGAUUGCUAUGCUAAUGCUAGUUAUGAGGGUAAUCAAUUGCGUAUUAACUUAUUAAGCUCAUUUUUACCUAUCAAUUGCUGGCCUUUUGUUGCAGUUGCACUUGCAUAAAAAUAUUUUUAUUGGACUAAUGUGAAAUUAGUUUAAAGUAAUAUACUUUAUUAAAGUAUCUAUUUAGUAGGAAGGUAUAGAUCAGACUUUUGAGGCCAACUUGUAGAUAUUUUAAACUGAUUUGAAACAAAAUUGUAGUUUGAUUAAUUUCUGUUCAAGCUGAAGAUACUACAAGUUCCUGUGUCAAAGAGAUUUUUACCUUAACUUAUUUACAAAAAGACAGCUGUUUUAUAACAGUGAAUAAAGCUAAAAAAUAUAAAACAGAGCAACUUUAAAGUUUGUUAAUCCUUCCUGUUACUUGCUGAAAGUCGAACUCUCUCUCUCUGUCACAGAUAUCUUGCAAAAAACCAAAACAAACUCUAUUAUUCCUUUACUGACACUGAAAACAGCUGUCAUUGAGUCUCCUCCCCUCUGAAACAGACUCUACACGGAAGAGAGUUUGCAGGCAUGUUCACAUUUCCAAUGACAGGAAGUUCAGUGCAGCCCUGCUGGGUUGGCAGCAGGAACUGGUGUCAUGUGCAUUUAACUGACAUCAUAUCACCCAGUGUCCUUAUGCUUACAGUCAAAGGUCACAAACAUGACCUGUGAAGCAAUCUGUGGCCGCAGGUUCUAAGCAACAUCAAAAAUACAAAUAAAGUAAAAGGAGAAAUGGACCAAAAGGAGAUGAGAGUCGUCAGUGCUGAUGAGAUGAAUCAGCCUGGAACACAACACUAAACUCGGAGGAUGUGUGCGGCUCCAGGAGAGUGAAACACAAUGUUAUGAUAAACCCAAACAUAUCCGGUCCUGCCAAAGUCAGCUAAAUACUCGUGCUGUCAGAUGUCUCCUGUCGCUGUUCGCCUGGCUUGUUCUUGACUGUUGACCCAGUUGUUAUAUAAGACCCACUGAGGCAUACCUGAGAAAACGCCAGAGGUGUCGUCCUUUGGCGCCAAACUCUAUUUGCUUGUGUGCCAUGACGAUGUUCGCCAUGUGAUGUUUGUCCUGAAGAGCAGAGUGGAGAAGUAAAGACCCUGCAGCCUCACGCUUCCUGGACGUGUUGGAGGAUAAUACGAUAGCAAUUCCUGAUGUUGCAACUUGCAAUGGAAAUGUAAGUUUCAGUUUGAUGUACCUUAAUCAUUUGGCAGGCGCGAUUGUAAUCAAUCCACAGUUUGGUUUAUUUAUAGAUUGAUGCCUAUGUAUAUGAACAAUAGUGAAUUUAAAAGUAUUUGUGUCACUUGAACUUUCAAAUUGUGUCAUUGCAAGUACACACUUGAUUGGGAUAUCAUCUGAUUUAUAAACACAAAGUAAUACGUGAUGUGAGAUGGAAAGAAAGACAAAAUGUUUUAAAAAAUGUUUUACAAAUAAAAAUCUGAAACGUGUGGUGUGCCUUCAGGCCUUAGGAGUGGAUAAACUUUGAACACUUUUUGAGGCAUGUCUGAAAUCUAAAGACGGAAACUUUCACCAAUUUGACUUUGCAACGUAACUCAAAUUAAAUCAAAUCGAAUCAAUUUAGUCAGGUUCUGAACCGAAGCCCACUGAUCAAAACCAUUCUAUCUGUAUGCUUUAAAUACAUUGAAUAUCAUUCCACUGAAGUAAAUGCAUGAAAUACGUUGAAGUUGGCUGUGAUAAUGUGUGGAGAGUAAAAGGCUGAAGUUGAUCAACAAGGUUGCAGAGGAGUCUAGUUUUGCUAUUACUGUGUUUCUGGUGUGGAAUGAAGCAUGAGCUAACAGACCAUGGCGAAAUAUGUGAGCAGCUAAAUUUAGUAGCAGUUCAUGGACGGGCAGCAGGGCAAAGGAUAUCUGUGUAUGACAGAGAGAGUGUGGGUGACAAUGAUGUAAAUGAUGGAUGAGUGGAGAAGAGUUACACAGUGACACUAUUUCUAUUUGUGCUGAUGCAUUAAAUCUGUCCAGUGCCAUGCUCUUUCCACCAGACUGACUUUUGAUGGAUGGGGAUAUCGACACAUUCAGGUCAGCGUUCUACAGAAGUGUGUUACGUGGAUUUAAAAAGAAAAAAAAGAUUUGAGCGCAAUGGUAAAUUUCAGGUUUGAACAUCACGCACUGUCAGAUUGUUGUAAUUUAGACCUGGCACAUUAACAGCAGAUCUGAGUUAAAGGAUGCUGCACCAAAACUAUGUUGUCACCUUCCUAAAACGAUGGCCUAAGUUUUUUUUUUUUUUUUUUGUUAAAAGUGAUUUUGAAAAGAAUUGCUUAAUCAUCAGAAAUGAAUUAACCAGUCAUUCUGAUAUUUGAAUUGGAUAGCUUUCGAUCAACUCUGAUCAGGUGAUCAGCAGGUCAAAAAAUGAAUAUAAAAUGUGUUCAUCAAAUGCAUACAGAAUAACUUCUGUCUUUAAAAUGUAUAAAGUCACUAACCAAUAGCAUGAUGAUACUUUCUCUCAGUUGAACAAAAAUCUGAUAAAACAUUUCAUUUCAUAAAUACUCAGGAUUACUACUGUAUUCCUUGAACACAUAAUCACACAAGGUCACAAUCUUUAAAUGUAUUCUAAUAAAUUAAAGACUCACACUUUUCACAUUUUGUUUUGGAGGGUGGACUUGCAACAUGUAUUUGCCUUUUCCUGUUUCUUCAAGUUGAAUCACGAAUCUAAAUGCAUCGAAACCUCCAAGAUACUAAAUGCUGUCUUUAAGAAUAGUGCCAACAUGUUGACUGACAUGUCGACAACAUCUUUAAGAA